rnacentral:lncRNA from 10 species
AAAUACCUUUAGGUGCAAUCUUUCAAGAGCCUAGGCACGUAAAACAUCCUGUCUACUUAAUUCUCACAACCUCUGAUGAUAGGAAUUCACAUGGCUAAUAAUGGCAGUCAGAGUUCCAACACAGACCUAUCUAGUGCCAAAGCUACAUGCAAUCUUUUUACUACAUUCCACAGUUGCUCUGUCUUACCUCUGUGUAACAGACGGAAACAAAAUCGUAUAAAACCACAGAAUUCACCUACAGUAUGAGGCAAUCCAAUUAAAGGAAAAGUCAUUCUCAGAACAGCUUUUAUUUAGUUUCAGAUUUGCAAAGGGAGACGUGACAUCAAGUUUGGAAGAAAGCUGAAUUACUGGGACUAACAGAGUGAAAAGAAUAUGGACUUUCAAGGAAUGGGGAAUAGGAAGGCCAGAAAAAUUUCCUUACUCCUUCUUCAAAGAUGAUGAAAUACAAAAUGACCCCAAAUGAAGCGGAUAGAACAAUCAGUGUUACAAGGAGUGGACACUGCAGUUUCCAGCGUUCUGUGACCUGUAAUAGUGCGACAGACUGAAUGCAGAAGCACAUAAACGAAUCCAGCUCUGUGAUUAAGCCAAGACAUUAAAGAGAUCUUCAAAAUGAAAACCAAUGCCACUUCUCUAAUAGACUUUUUUGUUUUGGAAAAUUUGUUUUUCCACGAAAGUAUUAUUUCUGUUACCAUAUAAUGGGUUAUUCUUUUUAAAUAAAUUAAUAUUUUUUAAAUGUCUUAGCUUUAAUUUCAAAGGUGGUAAAUAUCAGUAUGUAUUACAUGUAUGUAUUAUCUCUAACCCACAUAAGAGCUCUCUGGGGUCCUCAAUAAUUCUUAAGAGGGUAAAGGAGUCUCGAGACCAAAACUUCAGGAACCCUAAUACAGCCAUUCCAAACCUAACAAGGAAAAUAGUUUUACUUCGAGUUUCAUGUUCAUGGUGAAGUCAAGAAGAGAACGUGGUAACCUGGUUUGAUGGAGGGAGAUGAUGAGUUCGGCGUCAGUCUUUCCCAAUACCUUGCAAAAUGUUCAUGAAUUCCUGCACCCCACCCUCUGCAUUCAUCACCUCGCCUGCGCUUCUUCCCAGCCUUCCUUAGGUCUCCCAGAGCAGUGUCCACAUCCCUUUCUUUUGCAUUUUAAGUCCUCUGGAUGACUGCCCC